AAUAAGAGAAUGACAAAUUAGAUUUUUCUUCUUGAUUUCAGCUUUUUCCUUUUGAAAAAAAUUCAAAUCAAACUAGAAAUUGCUAGAAAUCAAGAAGAAAAAUUUUGAUUUGCCAUUUUCUUAUU
rfam:Gossypium arboreum cultivar AKA8401 contig_30504_1, whole genome shotgun sequence.